AGAACGAACGCUGGCGGCAUGCCUAAUACAUGCAAGUCGAACGAACUCUUCGGGGUUAGUGGCGCACGGGUGCGUAACGCGUGGGAAUCUGCCCCUUGGUUCGGAAUAACAGUUGGAAACGACUGCUAAUACCGGAUGAUGACGAAAGUCCAAAGAUUUAUCGCCAAGGGAUGAGCCCGCGUAGGAUUAGCUAGUUGGUGAGGUAAAGGCUCACCAAGGCAACGAUCCUUAGCUGGUCUGAGAGGAUGAUCAGCCACACUGGGACUGAGACACGGCCCAGACUCCUACGGGAGGCAGCAGUAGGGAAUAUUGGACAAUGGGCGAAAGCCUGAUCCAGCAAUGCCGCGUGAGUGAUGAAG
rnacentral:rRNA from 1 species